CCGCGGCCCGGCCGGGGGCACCGAGCAAGGCCCGAGCGGGGAAGGGGAGGGGGAGGAGGGCGAGGAGCACCGCGGUGCCGCGGCCUGGCCCCUCUUGAGAGCGGGGGGCGUGCAGGGGAUGGGGGGGUCGCCUUGGGGAAAUGCGGAGAAAGUUUCCUUCCCGCCCCGUAGGGCCUGUGCCGCAUCCCCGGGGCGCUGGUGCGGGUCUCGCACCUCCGAGCGUGCAGGUCAGAGAUGGCCGCGGGUGCACAUCGGGGACCCUUCUGGAGAGGAGGCAGACAUUGGGAGCCUCAAGCAGGAUACACGAAGGGACAUGGUGUGUCGUCUAGAGAAACGAGUAGCGGGAAGAAGCACAAAUCCCCCCUGUGCAAACAGGAGCUGCGGAGGGGAACUGACGUCCAGAAGAGAGGACACAAGGUGCGGACUUUCCCAGCAUCCCUGGCUUUGCAGCAGAGGCCUGAGUUGUCUCAGCAGGCUGGGGAGCCGCCACCACUGGGGGUGAAGGACGUGUUAAAGCACUCAGACAGAUGUUUGUCUAUGUAAACAUGAGUGCGCCUUGGGCGAGGGAACAGGUUCGGCGGCUCCCUGGGCUCCAGCACUGUUUCUCUGUGAUUUGUAUGCACAUACUUGCUUGUGGGCACAUUCACUCACCUAUGUGCUUGUCCCACCAUAAACACACGUUUGAGAUCUGAACAAAAGUUCAAAUACAUAUUGUCCUUGUUGCAUUGUCAUCUAUUUCUAGUCUCGUUGAGCACUACAGUUUUGUAGUGCUUCUGGGUAUGAGAAGGAUUAUACAAAUGGAGCUGUUGUAGGACUGUAAUUUCAGAGAAUUUUUCUUACCAUUAAUUUUUUCUUUUCUUUCUUUCUUACUCUAUUUAAAAACACACACACACACACACACACACACACACACAAAAAACACUUCUUUUGUGCACUUUGGACUGAGCUUGUCAUAUUUCUUAGAGUCUCCAGUGACUCCUUCAUACUACAGACUUUCUGGAGUCCUUCUUGUUAGACCAAGAACUGCGUGAUUCAUUGUGUGCUGGAGAUUUAAUACUGCACGUAAAACAUUCCCAGUUCAAAUUUGUUUUCUUUCUUUCCCCCCUCCCCUCCUUUUUUUUUUUUCCCCUUCAUUCUUGGCUUCUCACUUACAUCCUGGAAUUUUUUCACAAGAUAUAAAAUAAAUACAUUCCCAAAUAUGUCCA
rnacentral:lncRNA from 1 species